CAGCACAGAGCCUGAUGCGGGGCUCGAACUCACAAACCGCGAGAUCAGACCCAAGCCGAAGUCAGACGCUUAACCUACUGAGCCACCCAGGUGUCCCCCCCUCUUUUUUUUUUUAAUGGGGAUUGUUUUAAUCCCUACUUCCACAGUGAGUAUUCCUCGCUGUGAGAAAGUUAGUAUCGAGAGCCAAACUUCUGCUACGUCUCAAAGACUUAGCUCUAAGCACCUUUGUUCACCCAAGGACACUGGGGACAAAAGAAGUCUUGUUUCCGUAGUUACAAAUAGCACAUUGAUUCACUCUCCGGGAUCACGGAGGCGGCGGGGUGUGGCGGGCGCCCGCGCAAGUCCGGGCGCUGGACCUCACUCCCCCCAAAACUGCCAGCCCCUGCUCGCCCAGGAAGUCUUUGGGGACUCCCCACAUCCCACCCCCGCCCCCCCCCCAAUCCCAGACCUGAUUCAGGGCCACUGGUCCCCGAAAACAAAGGAGGGUGAUGCCGCCUCCGGCCACCAGAUGGCGCUCCUCUCACCCAACUAGCCGGGGCCAGCGGCAGGUGGUUCCCAGCACCUGCCAGAGGGAGGGCUCCCUGCACCUGCGGAAUUGGUGGGGUCACUGGGAGCCGCCAUCCUGGGUGCUAGCUCAGCCCCCCGCCCCCGGCCAGCCCCCUCCUCUCGCUGGCCCCCACCCUGGGGCAGAGGCACUGGAUGUGACAGGACUGGGGACAUGAUGCCCUGGAGCUCUGGCACGAUGUGAAGGAUCCCACAGCUGGGUGGACCCCCACCCCCACAAAGGCAGGCGGGGCCCCUGCUGGGACCCAGGCUUGGCCACGAAGGUCCUGAAGGUGGCUGGGUGUCGGGGACCCCUGUUCUGUCUUCUGGCCCCCUGCAGAGCUCCGGAGUCCCAGCUCCAGGGAAGGUGGUCCCGUGCCCCUUCAGAGAAUGACCGCGCGCGGCCCGCUGGAGGGAGGACCUGUGCCCAGGGCCACCCGGAGCCAGCCCUGACUCGUCCAGCUGAGAGCUGUGUGACCUGGCCGUGGUCACUGCCUGUGGGGCUGAGCUUGGCAUGUCCUGAGUCUGGGGUGGUGACUCCUGUCAGCGACCGAAUCUGCAGUGGGCCCCUCCCCCGGAGGAUGUGUCCUCAGCGCCUGCAGAGCUCUUGUGGCGUCCCCUGGCCCCUGUGUGGUCCGUGCCAUCCGCCCACACAUCCCGUGGUCCCGUCCACCUGGGUGGGCGUUUUCCCGGAUUUCCCUUAGACAGUCUAAGACCUAAGAGCCCCAGGGCCUAAUAAUCGUACAAAAACGCGUCCCAGUGUUAGUCAUUCUGGCUCAGUUUCCCUGAGUGUACGUGACGUGUCCUUUCAGCACGUGAGUCCCAGACUUUGCGGACCAGGUGGGUUGACGUGGGUUUUAGUGUUUCGCGACUGCUCUGCUCGGGUGCUGUGGGGUUUCCCCGGGACGUCCGAUUAUACGCUGUUGGUUCCUCCGCUUUCUCUCCUUCCCUUGCACCGCGAUCGACACGUAACUUACACGUCACGCCCUUCGCCCAUCUCACGCGUGCCAUUCGACGGUUGUCAGCGUCUUUACAAAGUCGUGCAGCCAAACCACGAACCUGCUCUACUCUCAGGACGUUUCCUCGCCCCGAAGGGACACCUCACCCCUGUUAGCCGUCCCAGCCCACACCCCCAGCGACGCCGCAGCUCCGCCCUCCGUGCGGCCGCCCGGCUGCGCCUGCGCAGAUGCCCCGCGCGCCCACCUGCCCCCACCUGUCGAGGCGCGUCUGGGCGCUUGUUGGCCGUGGCGCAGCUGCGCCUGGAGACACCCCAGCGUCCCGCUUUGCCCCUUUCCUCGAUUUUCCGCUUUCUCUCCAAUCCUUUUCAUGCGUUUUUACUUCCUUCUAUGCUUCUCCUAAUGCUUUUGUGUGCCUCCACUUUUGUGGCCCCUCUGCUCUAAUCUUCAUUUCCAAACUCAUGUUGUUUAUUUCUAAUUCUGAUUUGCGGUAUUUUUCACAUAUCGUAUGAUUCCUGCGGUCUUCAAGCUCGUUUUGAAGUGUUGCGUCGUGUAUGCGCGUGGUAGCCAACCGCCCAGAGGGCCUGUGCGUCCUCGGCGCCCAGAAUUCCUGCCCCUGUGGGCUGUGGGCUCCCACCUGCUUCAAAUCAGGGUCAAUGUUGCACGCGGCGCGCGUGAAGGACGUCGCCCGUGCUGGUUUCUGGGACUAGGUCAUCCGUGGGAUGGCGGCCGCCCCCUUCGUUUCUCGGAGCACUUGUGGGGGCGGGGGGUGGGGGGGGGCAGCCGUCAUGUGGUGAGGAAGCUCCAGCAGCUCACAUGGAAAAGCCCGCAGAGAGUCACAGAGAGGCCCGCGUGGAGACCCACACGGAGGGGAGCACUCAAAGGGGCCCACGUGGAGGGGAGCACAUGGGGGGCACACACGGAAGGGAAAACUCAGAGGGGAGCACACAGAGGGGAGCACACGGAGGGGUGCACAAAGAGGGGCCUACAUGGAGGGGCGCACAGGGUACCGCAUGGGUUUUGUGGGCCUCUCUGCCCGUGGGCCCCCGUCUCCUGCAGGGACACUAACCCUCUCCUCCUCGUCCUCUGUUUUCCUUCGAGCGUCUGUGCAGGUUCUGACCAUGAGUCACUCCACGGCUCAGGCUCCUGUGAAAUCCGUUUCUGGUGCUGCUCCUCCCACACCUGCCCCAGGACCCCUUUAUCUACUCGCGUGGAUCUCACCCGUUGGCUGUAUUUGAUUUGAGGUCUUCAUGCUCAUCUACAUCACAUUCUCGGUGCAUCUGUCCCCGUGACGGUGCCCCACACGCUGAGCAGGGGCCGCGCACCGGCGCCUCUGGCCACUGUGGCCCGAGAAUGCGCAUUCUGGCUCUGGUUCUGUGUCGUGAGCUGCCCGGCCUAGCCGCGUAUCCCCAGAGCCCGAGGGGGACGGGAGACGCCUCCCGUGAGACCAAAUGUAUGUUUGCUCUGCAUCGUGCUUCUGGCUCCCUAACCCCCUGGGGUUUUCCAGGUGAGAAGAGCCAAUAAGGUGUCUUUUGUAUCAUAAUGGGGAGACGCUGGAAAGCCCCUAGGAUCGCACUGGUGGCCAGGGAUCCAAGCCUGUGAUCUGAGAGCAGGAACCACCUGGCCUCUGGGAGGGGAGAGGGCCUGGGGGUUGCAUGGAUCACCUAUGGCCAAUGACUUGAUCAAGCCUCCGUAAAAAGCCAAAGAAGGAUGGGGUUGGGGUCAGAGAGCUUCGGGCGGUUGAACUCUUGGAGACUGGGGACAGCCGUGUGCUCAAGGGCUCGAGGGGGCUCCACCCCUCCCCUCCCCUCGCCCUGCCCGGCUCUGCAGCUCUUGGGCUGUUCUGAGUUCUAGCCUUGACGAUGACCAGCUGAUAGACUAAGUAAAGUGUUCCCUGCGAGCUGCCCUAGCCAACCAGGUGGGCCCACCGAGGGAGUCACUGGAACCUCCGAUCUAUAGCCAGCUGCUCAGAGGCACAGCAGGGCCUGGGGGCCUGAGGAGGCCGGGACCACCCCCCUGCCACACACACACACAGCAAACCUCCACCAGCUGCUCCGCGGGGCCCUGUGAAGCUGGGAAGGACUCCGGGGCAGCGAGGGGCAAAUACUGUCCCCCCUCAAGAAGGUCGAGUUAUUCACUAGCCUCCAAAAUAAAUAAAUGAGCACCACAGUA